rnacentral:rRNA from 1 species
UAACGUAGGGUGCAAGGCGUUGUCCGGAAUUAUUGGGCGUAAAGAGCUUGUAGGCGGUUUGUCGCGUCUGCUGUGAAAAUCCGGGCUCACCCGGACUUGCAGUGGGUACGGGCAGGACGUAGAGUGUGGUAGGGGAGACUGGAAGUUCCUGGUGUAGCGGUGAAAUGCGCAGAUAUCAGGAGGAACGCCGAUAGCGAAGGCAGCUCGCUGGGGACGUACCGACGCUGGAGGCACGAUAGCGUGGGGAUCAAACAGG